UAAGAUAACACAUAGGAAUUGAGGAAAAAGAUCUUCAUAGAUUAAAUAAAGAAAUCACAAAGUCUCCCUUAAAGUUUCAUCAAAUAUCCCAACAGAAGAGUUUAGCUACUUAUACUAGAGAAAAAUGCAAGAAACAAAUCUAAAGAAGACAUAAAACGAUAUAAGAUAAACCCAUUAGAAGAUUCUCUUAAUAUCUGCAGCCGUCCUUUAUUUUCUCAUCCUCCGGUCUCUCUUUUUCUUUUUGAGAUAAUCCUAUUUUAUAUAGUUCAAGACCUAAUGCUUUGGCAGAGUCCAAGUCUGACCUAGCAUGUCCCAUGGUCGUGUUGGAUUGGCACAUGGUCAUGUCUUCCUCAAAAUUACAUCAAUUUUCAGCUUUUAAACACGACACGGUCUUGUCUCCUAGACACGGUCGUGUCUCUUUCACUGAACAAAAUAGAAACAUUGACUUCUUAACACAUGGUCGUGUAUUAACCCGGUUUAAGGCACACAACCGUGUCUUCCAAGAACAUGGUCUUGUCUUACUCCUCAGAAAUAGAAAUGCAGGCUCCUUAACACAUGGUUGUGUGCUAUGGUUAUAUCUCCCACAUCUUCAUGUUCCAACCUUUUUUGCCCCAAAUCUUGUUAUAAUCCACUCUAAUUUGCUUUCAAGUCCCAAAUUCAUUCCUGAAAAGUGUCAAAGAUAAUCUAACAGUAUAUGUGGCAAAAAUCAAUCAAAAUCAAUUCAAAUAAAAUAGAAAAAUAUUUAUAAAAUUUAAUUAUAUCAACAUAUUGAUCACAACAGUACGUCACCAAGUGACCAAUCAAAGAUAUGCAUCCCAACCACAUCUGGAAGGGAUUUCAUCCACCUAUAGGCAUGGUUCACCUACCACUUAAUUUCAGUCAUACUAUUGUGACGAAUCUGACAUUCUUAUUUAAGAUAUUAUUUGUACUUUUGCAUUAUUUGUAUCAUUAUUUUGUUUCUUGAGUUUUAUUCGUAUACUUCACGUUUCCUAAUAGGCUAUUUACUUUCUCAAAAGACUAGUAAACUUUUUUUUUUUUUCCGAAUCAAUGCUUCACCAAUCCUUCCUACAAUUCUUCUACUUAUCUUAUCAUCAUAAUUUAUUUAUGCUUUUGGAACCUUAAUUAUUAUUUAGUUAUUUGAAAGUUUUAUGUUUCUAAAAUUUCCUAUUUUAUUUGUUGUGGAUAUUUUGAGAGUUUGAAUUAUUUUAAGUUGGUUUUAGGAUAAUUUACUUCCAUAAAUUUUUUUCCUAAAAUUUUACCCUUUCUUCACUUCACUUUCACUUUAUUUAAAUUUAACUUCUUAUCAGUUUAUGCACUUUAAUUUGUUUAUCUGAUUUGAAUCUUUUUCCACUUCGUUUAAAAUUGUAAAUUUGAUGUAGGUUUAUUUGAUUUUAUGAAAUGUUUUGGUUUCGUUUCUAUUCUCAUUUAAUUCCUAAUUCUCAUGAUCAUUUGUUUAUUUGCUCUAAUUCUACCACUUAGAGCUUUAUCUCCCACAAUCAACUACUUGGAAUUUAGAAUUUAUUCAACACCUUUUUCACAUUCAACCCAAAUUUCAAAUUUAUUCCAAUGAAUUAAUUAGUUAUUUAAGUUUUUAAUUUUGUUACGGUUUAUUUGUGUUAUCUUAAUUACUUAAUUAAUAUAUAAUUUACUUCUCGUGCAAAUUAAACUCAAAAUUCACUAAGCCAUUCAAAGCAUAAUCCAAUCAUCAUUCAUUACAAUCAAUCGUUAAAAAGCCACGAUUUAUCGUAAUUUAAUUAUUAAUGUUUGCUUUUGAAAACAUACAAGUGCGGCUUCGGGUUAGCUUAUAUAUUAGAUGUACGCUCCCCCCCAAUUCACUUAAGCCUAAUGUUCUUUUUACCGGAAUUAAGUCUAAUCCUUAACCAAAUCAAAAUGAAACACACACCCUCGGGAUUCCCUGAAGAACCACUCCUGCUUCACCGCAUGGAUGCCCGGACAAGAAUAAACCUGUAAACAGCGGUAGUAGGACGCGCUUCGGUCGAUUUCCCCCAGUCGUGCGCAAAAACCCAGAGGCACACGACGCUCCAUAGUGCGGCCAGUCGCCCAAAACCACCUCACCAGCACUCUGUCGCGGCGGCACGCACGCCCACUACGCGCAGAGGCCCUUGGCCUCACCGCCUCCCUCUCCUCAUGCCCAGAUCUCGCAAAUCUCGCGGAUCUGGCUCCCACUGCCUGUGGCACAACCGCGCGGACAACCACCCUGGCAUGCAGCAUGAAGCCCCGCAUGCGACUGCCUCCCUCGCGCACACCCUCGCACCUACGAGCACAGCCGCUCGUACGCGAACCCCUGCUCACAACAUCACGUCGCACACAGCUCCUCUCCUAGCCUCGCGCAUGCGGGACCGCCGCACACGUGAACCUCCUCCUCUCCUCUGCUCGCCUAUAUUCACUCUCGUGCUUGCGGCUGGGGCCGCACACCCAGAUCUCGCUCUCCCGCUCACUCGUGGCCACCGCCGCUCGCGAGCCUCUCUUUCUCCUUCCUCUCUCCUCGGCACGCUUGUGGCCAUAUUUUCUAAAUUAACUUUAAUUUAAUUAAUUUCCUAAAUAUAUUUCUAAUUUAAUUUAUUAAUUCUAAUAUUUUGAAAAUAUUUUUAAUUUAAUUCGUUUUAUGAAUUACAAGCUUUAAUUAUUUUUAAAACCUCUUUUUAAUUUAUUUUAAUUUUUCUAUUAUUUUUUACUUUUCUUAAUUUAAUUAUUUAACAAGUUUAAAUUAUUUUUAAAAUUCCCUUCUAGUUUCCUUGGUACGAUUUUUGUGAACUGUUACAAUUAAAAUGAUAAUUAAUAAUCAUGGAUAAAAUUUAAGAAAAUAGUUGUUAAAAGAAAAUUAUAAAUUUAAGAAAAUAAUUGUUGAAAGUAAAUUAUAAAUUCAAGAAAAUAAUCCAUGCAAUUUUAAGAUUAAACUUUCCAAGCGAAAAAUAAUUUUUAAAAUAGAUAGUAUAAAUGAAUUAAAAUAGUCAUAACUACUACAUGAUAUGGUUAAUAUGUCUUUUCCUCUAUGAUAAGUUGUGAAUUAGAGUUUAAGUAUAUUUCAUGUGUCAUCUUUUAAAAAUUAUAUUAUAUUAUGU
rnacentral:lncRNA from 1 species